rnacentral:hammerhead_ribozyme from 1 species
AUCCAGCUGACGAGUCACAAAUAGGACGAAAUGCGCGUGCUCCAU